CUUUACCAGCUAUGGAUUGCUGAGUGACAGGAUUUAUACAAGUUAUUGUGAAGAGGACACAAGGGUAUUCAUCUUAGAACUGAUUCAUAUAAUUUCAGAGUAUUAAGUCUGUUCACAGUGAUACAGCCAUGUUCCCCAUGGGAAAAUUAGGUGAUAAAGUCACCAUGUGCAGGCUUUACAACUUCAAAAAUAAAUGUGCGAUUUGUGACUUGAAGAACUACAAGGAACAAUUUCCAGCACAAACCCUUAGAAAUUUGUUCAUGAGAUUCCAGCACAAGUCCAUUUUGUUCACGAGUCCAAGCAACCCCCUGAAAGAUCAGGGAGUGCAUUCCAGAGCCCAGGAGCAGCUACAGAGAAGGCUUGAUCCUGAGUGGUCAUCAGGCAAGUUGGCGGAAGCCAGAGACGGACCUCUCGAGGACCUUAAUGUGUGGUGGAGAUCAUUCUGAAGACGGCGCUCUGCCAGGUGGAGGGCAUUCUGGAGGCACCCUGUAUGCUUGGUGAAUUUUACUCUGCUCAGCAGCAAACCAAACAGCGGAGAAGAAACGAACUUCAAUUGAAUUGACCUCUUCAAUCACAUUAGUAAUAUCAAAGCUCUGUGUAAGGGACAGAAAAGGUAAAAAUGAUAGACUCAAUCAUUCUGACAU